GGCAAUUCCAUCUAACCACAUUUUUAAAAGGAUGGCCUAGUUAAUCACUCUGUUACUUUUACACUGAAGCAUUUAGUUAUACUUUCUAGUAAACUUUCAAGGGAAGUAAUUUUUAGUGAAUUUAGCACACAGAAAAAAUUAUUUUAAUUUCAUUGUGAUAUUAUGAUAGUAUGCAUCAUAUUACACUGUAGCUGUAGUGUAACAAAGAUAAUGUUAUGCAUUGUUAACAAAACUUACUUUGCCAAAAGUGAAUACAGUGCUUGUUAAUUAAGUUUAUUUGUUUGAUGGAAUUGAACAGUUAAAUUUUCUGAUUUUUAUCUGGGAAGUUGGGUUUUUAUGCAUGUGAAUGUAAUUAGAAUUUGAGGUUUGUACAAUUGCUGUAGUGCAGGUUAAAACAAAAAAUAGAUAAAAAGUAAAAUAUCAAUAGCGAAAUUGAAAUUUGUUCAAUUUCAAAACUUAUUGACAUUUGCAUUUUAUUUCGUUUUAUUUCUGAUGAGUUUCUGGAGUUAUCUCUCUUUAGUUAUGGGCUUUUAACGCAAGUAUUAUCAUCAAAGAGUUAAAAACACUUUGAUAUAAAUGUUAUUAAUAUAUUCAUUCAAGAAAUGUAAAAAUUAAAAAAAAAACUGUUUUAAAUAGAUCUAGUCCCAAGUAAAAUAAAUAUAAGUAUUAGAUUUUUCUAGAUUUAAUUCUUAAAUUAUAAAUCGAUGUCCACACAAAAUUUGCUAUAACUUCUGCUCAAAUAUGUUUUUAAGUAUAUCAUUCGUAACCAAGGAAUUAGUGGGUUAGUUUACUUAGUUUAUUUUGUUAAUUGUAUUAAUGAUUGAAAAUCAAAAUCGUUUGAAAGGAUAUUGCGAGUGAAAAAAAACCCAACAUGUAUUUGAAUGUUUGCCAUUGAUAAAUAUGAUUAAACCAUAUUUUUCUAUGUAUGAAAUAAAAAGAGUUUACCACAUUU
rnacentral:sRNA from 1 species